ensembl:lncRNA
GCAAGACCCAGUGUGGACACAAUUAAAACUGACAGCACCUACAGACAGUUAUUGAGCAUCUGCUAUACGCCAGGAACAGUAGUCAAGCAUGCUCCAUCACCAGACAGAUCAGAAGAGGAUCAGAGAAAUAGAAAAAUAAGAACAUAGAGUGGCCCCAAAAACCUGAACCAAAGAAGGUAGAGAAAAGUCUUCCUCGCCAACAGUUCCAAGUAGAGGAAUAGCCCUUGCAAAAGUGUGAGGGUGUGAGGGAGCGGCACGACACCUCCAAAGCACAAUGAGAGAUGGAGUGCGGCUGAAGCAAGGGAGAGUGUGGGUGUGGCAAGAAAUGAAGCCGUGUUGCUGUGACGGUCAAUCAUGAAGGCGCUGAGGACUG